rnacentral:tRNA from 1 species
GGGGAUAUAGCUCAGUUGGUAGAGCUCCGCUCUUGCAAAGGCGGAUGUCAGCGGGUCGAGUCCGCUUAUCUCCA